UCGGGAAUUUUGGGCAAUGGGGGAAACCCUGACCCAGCAACGCCGCGUGAAGGAUGAAGUAUUUCGGUAUGUAAACUUCGAAAGAAUAGGAAGAAUAAAUGACGGUACUAUUUAUAAGGUCCGGCUAACUACGUGCCAGCAGCCGCGGUAAUACGUAUGGACCAAGCGUUGUUCGGAUUUACUGGGCGUAAAGGGCGCGUAGGCGGCAUGACAAGUCACUUGUGAAAUCUCUGGGCUUAACCCAGAACGGCCAAGUGAUACUGUCGCGCUAGAGUGCAGAAGGGGCAAUCGGAAUUCUUGGUGUAGCGGUGAAAUGCGUAGAUAUCAAGAGGAACACCUGAGGUGAAGACGGGUUGCUGGGCUGACACUGACGCUGAGGCGCGAAAGCCAGGGGAGCAAACGGGAUUAGAUACCCACGUAGUCCCUGAGCGGGCUGGCAAG
rnacentral:rRNA from 1 species